rnacentral:rRNA from 1 species
CGGACGGGUGAGUAACGCGUGAGAAUCUGCCUUCAGGAGGGGGAUAACGGCUGGAAACGGCCGCUAAUACCCCAUAUGCCGCGAGGUGAAAUGAGAAAUCGCCUGAGGAUGAGCUCGCGUCUGAUUAGCUAGUUGGUGGGGUAAGAGCCUACCAAGGCAUCGAUCAGUAGCUGGUCUGAGAGGAUGAUCAGCCACACUGGGACUGAGACACGGCCCAGACUCCUACGGGAGGCAGCAGUGGGGAAUUUUCCGCAAUGGGCGCAAGCCUGACGGAGCAACGCCGCGUGAGGGAUGAAGGCCUCUGGGCUGUAAACCUCUUUUCUCAAGGAAGAAGAACUGACGGUACUUGAGGAAUAAGCCACGGCUAAUUCCGUGCCAGCAGCCGCGGUAAUACGGGAGUGGCAAGCGUUAUCCGGAAUUAUUGGGCGUAAAGCGUCCGCAGGCGGUCUUGAAAGUCUGUUGUUAAAGCGUGGAGCUCAACUCCAUUUCAGCAAUGGAAACUAGAAGACUAGAGUGUGGUAGGGGCAGAGGGAAUUCCCGGUGUAGCGGUGAAAUGCGUAGAUAUCGGGAAGAACACCAGUGGCGAAGGCGCUCUGCUGGGCCAUAACUGACGCUCAUGGACGAAAGCCAGGGGAGCGAAAGGGAUUAGAUACCCCAGUAGUCCUGGCCGUAAACGAUGAACACUAGGUGUCGGGGGAAUCGACCCCCUCGGUGUCGUAGCCAACGCGUUAAGUGUUCCGCCUGGGGAGUACGCACGCAAGUGUGAAACUCAAAGGAAUUGACGGGGGCCCGCACAAGCGGUGGAGUAUGUGGUUUAAUUCGAUGCAACGCGAAGAACCUUACCAGGGUUUGACAUCCUGCGAAUCUUUUGGAAACAGAAGAGUGCCUUCGGGAGCGCAGAGACAGGUGGUGCAUGGCUGUCGUCAGCUCGUGUCGUGAGAUGUUGGGUUAAGUCCCGCAACGAGCGCAACCCACGUCUUUAGUUGCCAGCAUUGAGUUGGGCACUCUAGAGAGACCGCCGGUGAUAAACCGGAGGAAGGUGUGGAUGACGUCAAGUCAUCAUGCCCCUUACAUCCUGGGCUACACACGUACUACAAUGCUACGGACAGAGGGCAGCAAACUCGCGAGAGCUAGCAAAUCCCAUAAACCGUGGCUCAGUUCAGAUCGUAGGCUGCAACUCGCCUACGUGAAGGAGGAAUCGCUAGUAAUCGCAGGUCAGCAUACUGCGGUGAAUACGUUCCCGGGCCUUGUACACACCGCCCGUCACACCAUGGAAGU